rnacentral:rRNA from 1 species
GACGAACGCUGGCGGCGUGCUUAACACAUGCAUGUCGAACGGUAAGGCCCUUCGGGGUACACGAGUGGCGAACGGGGGAGUAACACGUGGGUGAUCUGCCCUGCACUUCGGGAUAAGCCUGGGAAACUGGGUCUAAUACCGGAUAGGACUCCUGGCUUCAUGGUUGGGGGUGGAAAGCUUUUGCGGUGUGGGAUGGGCCCGCGGCCUAUCAGCUUGUUGGUGGGGUAAUGGCCUACCAAGGCGACGACGGGUAGCCGGCCUGAGAGGGUGACCGGUCACAUUGGGACUGAGAUACGGCCCAGACUCCUACGGGAGGCAGCAGUGGGGAAUAUUGCACAAUGGGCGCAAGCCUGAUGCAGCGACGCCGCGUGAGGGAUGACGGCCUUCGGGUUGUAAACCUCUUUCAGCUAUGACGAAGCGCAAGUGACGGUAGUAGCAGAAGAAGGACCGGCCAACUACGUGCCAGCAGCCGCCGUAA